CGUGGUAAUAAUUAACUCGAAAUGGCAUUUACGACGCUGAGAUGUGAUGUGUGCUGCUUUCCCUCAUCCCUCCAGCAAACAGGACGUACUGACUCUGAACAGGCCUUGGGUCUUCAGAUGUAGUGACUUGGCCAAGGUCACAGAGAAAAUGGGUAACAGAUCUUCUGCUUCUCACCUGCAGCUUUUGCUAUGUGCUCAGCAGCUAGUGACUAGACCAUCCCUCAGCAGGCAGCAGCAACAUCCAGAAAUCUAGAUUCCUGAGGACAUGACAUCAGUGAUUGAGCUCAGACCCUGUGCUAUGCCCAUUAUCUACAUCAGCUCGUUUUUUUUUUUUUAAUUUAAAAGCUAAUGAUACUAUCAGCGAUAGCCAAAUUAUGGAAAGAGCCCAAA